rnacentral:rRNA from 1 species
AUUGAACGCUGGCGGAAUGCUUUACACAUGCAAGUCGAACGGUAGAGGGGGCAACCCCUUGAGAGUGGCGAACGGGUGAGUAAUAUAUCGGAACGUGCCCAGUCGUGGGGAUAACGUAGCGAAAGUUACGCUAAUACCGCAUACGAUCUAAGGAUGAAAGCGGGGGAUCGCAAGACCUCGCGCGAUUAGAGCGGCCGAUAUCAGAUUAGGUAGUUGGUGAGGUAAAGGCUCACCAAGCCAACGAUCUGUAGCUGGUCUGAGAGGACGACCAGCCACACUGGGACUGAGACACGGCCCAGACUCCUACGGGAGGCAGCAGUGGGGAAUUUUGGACAAUGGACGCAAGUCUGAUCCAGCCAUUCCGCGUGCAGGAUGAAGGCCCUCGGGUUGUAAACUGCUUUGUACGGAACGAAAAGGUUUGUCUUAAUACGAUGAGCUCAUGACGGUACCGUAAGAAUAAGC